rnacentral:rRNA from 1 species
AGAACGAACGCUGGCGGCAUGCCUAAUACAUGCAAGUCGAACGAAGGCUUCGGCCUUAGUGGCGCACGGGUGCGUAACGCGUGGGAAUCUGCCCCUUGGUUCGGAAUAACAGUUGGAAACGACUGCUAAUACCGGAUGAUGACGAAAGUCCAAAGAUUUAUCGCCAAGGGAUGAGCCCGCGUAGGACUAGCUAGUUGGUGAGGUAAAGGCUCACCAAGGCGACGAUCCUUAGCUGGUCUGAGAGGAUGAUCAGCCACACUGGGACUGAGACACGGCCCAGACUCCUACGGGAGGCAGCAGUAGGGAAUAUUGGACAAUGGGCGAAAGCCUGAUCCAGCAAUGCCGCGUGAGUGAUGAAGGCCUUAGGGUUGUAAAGGCUCUUUUACCCGAGAUGAUAAUGACAGUAUCGGAAGAAUAAGCCCGGACUAACUCCGUGUCAGCAGCCGC